AGUUCAGAGAGGAGGAAGUUCCUGUGUGUGUUUCUGACUGAUCUGCAGUGACUUACAGCUCAGAGCACUGAGAGACUCAACAGAGAACUGAACUGAUCUGAUUGAACAUGGACAGAUGUGUCAUACUGAUUCUCAUUGUGGGAACAGGUUUGGUGGCUGGAGACAGCAUUGAGCCAGAUAAAGGGACAGAAAAAAACACUGAAGAAAGAGAAACUGUCAAGCUGAGCUGCUCAUAUAGUACAAAUAGUGAUUAUGUUUAUCUUUACUGGUACAGACAGUAUCCCAACAGAGAACCACAGUAUUUAUUACUCAAAGGUGCCCGAUCAUAUAGUUAUGCACACACCUCUGAUGAUCGGUUUCAGUCGACUACAUCACGUACAUCCACUGAACUCACUAUUACUGAUGUACGUCUGUCAGAUUCAGCUCACUAUUAUUGUGCUCUAAGAGUAGGAGCCCAGUGAUACAAAACAUGAGACAUGUCGUACAAAAACCUGCUCUUGAAAA